ensembl:snRNA U6 U6 spliceosomal RNA
CUGUUCGCUUCAGCAACACAUAUACUGAAAUUAGAAAUGAUACAGAGAAUGUUAGCAUGGCCACUGCACAAGGAUGACACACAACUCAUGAAGUGUUCCAUAUUUUA